UUGUCUUUUAAAUGAAGACCUGUAUGAAUGGCAUAACGAGGGCUUAACUGUCUCCUUUUUUUAGUCAAUGAAAUUGAUCUUCCCGUGCAGAAGCGGGAAUAAAUACAUAAGACGAGAAGACCCUAUGGAGCUUUAGACACAGAACAGCCCAUGUUAAAUACCCCCCACAAACGGAUAAAACUUAUUGGCACCUGUACCAAUGUCUUUGGUUGGGGCGACCGCGGGGUAACAAAUAACCCCCACGUGGACCGGAAGCACACAUCGCUUCUACAACCCAGAGUUACCACUCAAAGUAACAGAAAUUCUGACCAAAAACGAUCCGGCAAGACCGAUCAACGAACCAAGUUACCCUAGGGAUAACAGCGCAAUCCUCUUUUAGAGCCCCAUCGACAAGAGGGUUUACGACCUCGAUGUUGGAUCAGGACAUCCUAUU
rnacentral:rRNA from 1 species